GUCUAUGGCCAUACUUCCCUGAACGCACCCGAUCCCAUCUGAUCUCAGAAGCUAAGCAGGUUGGGCCUGGUUAGUACUUGGAUGGGAGACUGAAAUUAAUCACUGAACCAUGCACU
rnacentral:rRNA from 1 species